UACGUAGGGUGCAAGCGUUAUCCGGAAUUAUUGGGCGUAAAGAGCUCGUAGGCGGUUUGUCGCGUCUGCUGUGAAAACUGGAGGCUCAACCUCCAGCCUGCAGUGGGUACGGGCAGACUAGAGUGCGGUAGGGGAGAUUGGAAUUCCUGGUGUAGCGGUGGAAUGCGCAGAUAUCAGGAGGAACACCGAUGGCGAAGGCGGAUCUCUGGGCCAUUACUGACGCUGAGGAGCGAAAGCGUGGGGAGCGAACAGG
rnacentral:rRNA from 1 species